AAAUAUUGUUCCUAAAAUAUGAAGAUCUGAAACUUAAUACGUCGUUUUAUGUUAAGAAGCUGGCUGACUUCAUUGGCUCUCCUUUCUCGAUUGAAGAAGAAAGAGAUGGCGUCGUGGAAAGAAUUAUAGACCUCUGUUCUUUCAAGCAUAUGAGUGGUCUGGAGGUGAACAAGAGCGGUAAGCAUAGUAAUGGUCUCGAUCUUGUUACUCUUCGGAAUAGUACAUAUUUCAGGAAAGCCGAGGUUGGGGACUGGAAAAAUCACUUGCCUGCUAAAGUGAAAGAGCAGAUGGACCAAAUCAUGGAGCUAAAACUAAAAGAUUCUGGUUUAACUUUCGGGAGCACUUCCAACUCUUAAUAUUGAUCAAAGUUCCAUUCAAAGAAGAGAAUGAUUUGAACUAUUAUUACCUUUCUAGGUUGGUACUUAAAUAAAUUGCUUAAGACUGCAGUUCUGCAUAUAUGGACUGCGGUAUGCAUGUUAUUCUUGUUAAAAUAUAGAAUAAGAUUCAUUUGAGGCCUUACUCUAACCUUUUAAGGUUUUAGAAGGACGGGUUUUCAACAGGGUAUCAGAGUUCAGGUUUGCGUACCUAUUAGGCGAGCUGAUCUUGUAUAACUUUGAUAUUACUAUCUAUUAUUGUGUCAAACCUCUUUGCUUGGAAGGUUAUAGUUGCAUUGUUUUCAACAGAUUGACUGGAAAUGUAACCAAGUAAUGUAAAUGAUGUCGAUCUGCAGAAUAACAGAAAAUUUUCAUUACCAAUUUUGGGAAAGAAAGGAGAAACACUUUUGCACCAACACAACAGAUUUUUAACAGAAAUAACACUUACCAUGUAUCACUAACCAUAAGGGCUGCUUCGUUUUUAGCCCCUUUGAGGAGUCAUUAUUGCUUUGUUGUUGGUAGGCCUGGUUACAGGUAUCCUUUUGGUUCCAGCAAUUUCCAGCAAUCACGACAUGGACCUGGGGAUUCGUCUUCUAUGAGAAUUAAGUUUGCCGUUGGACUGCCAGAGAAUACGCCCUCGGCACAGGUCUUAAAAUUUGAGGUUUCAAACUCAUAAUAUAUUAUAUAUAUGCACACAUAUAUAAUUAACUUUAAUUUUUAUUAUUAUGUUAAUUAAAAAAUUUUAUUUAUAUAUUAUUUUGAUAGUUACUAGUUGAUUGUCAUUAAUAUUAUUACUAGCUUAUAACCCAUGCAAUGCACGGGCAGUUAUAAUAUUUUUUAUUUUUUGACCCAAGUACCAACUGACCGGCCGACCGACCAAACUUUCAAUUUUUCGGCUUUAAUAAUUUAAUAGAAAAUAAAAAAAUAUUAUAAGAUAUUAUAAAAUAAGAAGGUCUAUGAGUUAAAUACCACCCGGCUCACCAAACUCGAGAGCCCGAUCGACCGACCAACUGAACUUUUCGUGUUUCGGCUUUAAUAAUAUGAUAAUAUAUAGUAUAUCAUGGAUUGAUAAAUUACUUUUAAAAUGAGAUCAUCAGAGAAUUUAAAAAUAAUGUUAAUGUAUUUUGGUUGAAAUAUAUCAGCGGUUAUUUAUUAAUAAUAUAUAUAAUAACAUUAUAUUUUUAUAUAUGUAGCCUGUAUUAAAUUAGAAGAUCGUUUUUUUAGUUAGAAAAUCAAAAUAAGAUAAUAUGUUUUAAUUAAAUUAUUAUAUUGUUCGAUGUUAUUUUAGAAGAUUGAGAUUUUUUAGUUAGAAAAUAUAAAAAGAUGAUAUAUUUUAGUUAAAAAGAUAAUUGGUUAUAUAGAUAGGCUCAUAUUUCGGCCCAAGUACCGACCGACCAAAUUUUCAAUGUUUCGGCUUUAAUAGUACUAGCCUUUAACCCGUGCGAAACACGGGCGGGUAUAUAGUUCGUAAUUUAUUAUUUUUAAUUUAAAAUUUAACAUCAUUUUAUUAGUAUUUUAAUAUUAAUGGAUUGAAUUUUAAUUAAAUUAUAUUAUUCAACUGACUGUAUUUUCUCCCGAUUAUUUGAGAAUAUCCAUAUAUAUAUAUAUAUAUAUAUAUAUCAAGAUUUUAGUACAUUUAAUCCGAAUUUAGUACACGUAGAUUUAAAAAAUAAAAAAAAAUCAGAAAAUUCAAAUCUUUUCCAAACAUAAACGAUCGUGUAAUACUUUUGAAAGAUUCAGUAAUCUAAUCAGUCGAAUUUCAACGUGAUUUUGUAAUUUUGAUUUUUUUGACAACAGAAACUUUCAAGAUUAAAGUUAGAAAGAGUAAUGUAAUGGUUUGUGUUUAUAUUGAAAUAAAACACGUUAAAUUUAAAAAAAGUUAUAUAAAGGUUAUUGUUAAAAAAAGAUAUUCAAAAUUAUAUAUUUAUAAUUUUAUUUAUAACAUCAUUAUAAUUUUUCAAUGAAAUAUUAUAUGAUAAUAUAUUGUUAUGAGUGUUUUUAGUAUUUGAAACUGUUUAACAAUGUAAGACUAAUAGAUAGGCUACACUUUUGUAGACUUAUAGUACUAAAAGGAGAGUACCAAACCAACAAAUAUAACUAAAAUCUUGGCAUUAUAGUAUAGUAUAGAUAGUAUAGAUUAUGUAUAAACUGAUAUUAUAUAUUCUAAUGCUAGUAUUUUAUUCAAAUUUAAUUAUUUAUUAAAUUAUUUUUUUUUGAGAUAUCAAAAUCACAUGAUUUAACGUGUCAUUCAAAUUCUCAGAUUUAUACUUGUAUAUGCAUGUGUCACGAAAAACUUAUCAAACAGCUAAUUUUUAAAAAGACACUUUGAGGAGCUUCUUGGGUUAGAGGUUUUUGUACGUGUCGCAAAAACUAAUCAAACAUCUGUUACCACCGAACAAUUCUAAAUAAUAUUAUUAAUUCUAUUCGCUAGUCAAAACAUGUGAUUCGAUCAGCUGACAGCGAAUACCAAACAGGGUACGGGCGAGGCAUCUGAGGUGGGCACUCCUUUGGUAAAGAUGUUGGUGAAGUCACUGAAGUGGGUAGUCCUUUUUGCUAAAGAUGUCGUUGAAUAUAUUUUAGUAAAUUAUCUGGAUUCUUGAAGAUAUGAAUAUGACCGUAAACCUACCGCACUACAUGGUAUUUCUUCAAGAGACGAAAAGAUCCUCUUAAUUUGAUAUAUAUAUAGGUAACUUCAGAAAACCAAAAUGUGCAUUACAGAUCUACAAGCAAUAGGCAUCAUCUUGUAGCAUGAAUUACUUGAAUUCAGCCGAUGGAAACACUACUAAUUGCACUUACAGUGCCAGGAUCUCUUUGCUUCCUCAUCGAAGCAUUGCCAUGAAAGAAGCCAACAAUGACUUGGCUCAAGCUUAUGAAUACCAAGGCUUUUGGUUCCUGAAACAAGCUCUUAGAGGCCUCAUCUGGGCUCAAGAUCACUUCAAGCCUCACCCUGCAGCUACACUAGUGGCUUCCUACCCGAAAACCGGAACCACGUGGCUAAAAGCCUUAGCUUUCUCCAUAGCUACUCGAAACAGAUUUGAUCUUUCUAGCAAUCCAUUGGAGACCUCAAUAUCUCAUCAAUGCAUUCCUUUUCUGGAACUUGAGAUACCGAGAAGCCCGUCUCACAAGUACUAUCCUGACGUUCCGCUCUUCUCUACACAUGUGCCUUACACGUGUUUGCCUGACUCGAUCACUGGUUCUGAUUGUAAAAUAGUUUAUAUAUGCAGGGAUCCCACGGAUACUUUUGUGUCUUGGUGGCAUUUUGCCCGAAAGAGGGCUCCAGAAGACGUGGAAUUCGUUCCCAUUGAGGAGGGGUUUCAGCAGUUUGCUGAGGGGUAUUCACUCUAUGGUCCUUACUGGGAGCAUAUACUUGGGUAUUGGAGAGCAAGCUUAGACAGACCUGAUCAAAUUUUGUUUUUAAAAUACGAAGAUCUGGUACUUAAUACGUCGUUUUAUGUUAAGAAGCUGGCUGACUUCAUUGGCUCUCCUUUCUCGAUUGAAGAAGAAAGAGAUGGCGUCGUGGAAAGAAUUAUAGACCUCUGUUCUUUCAAGCAUAUGAGUGGUCUGGAGGUGAACAAGAGCGGUGAGCAUAGUAAUGGUCUCGAUCAUGUUACUCUUCCGAAUAGUAUGUAUUUCAGGAAAGCCGAGGUUGGGGACUGGAAAAAUCACUUGCCUGCU
rnacentral:lncRNA from 1 species